AUGUCAUGGCAUUGUGUGUUCUUUAUGCUGCUAUUUUCCCAGAGUCUGUCAAACAGACCUUACCAGUCAAGUAGAUGCGCCCUUGUAUAUAUAGUCAGAAUACAGAAAAUGUACUCAAGAAUAUAUAUGCAGUUUCUGUGCAUGUACUAUAAUCUUGCCAUGGCUAGUCUUAAUUUGAUGCUUUCUGCAAUUCAUGGAAAGACCAACAGGCCAGCCAUGUUUCAGGUUCAACUGCAUCUGCAUCCAUGCUCUCUGGUGACAUAUAAUUUGGCCUGUAAUGAACCUGCUGAAAUGAAAGCGGGGAGGGUUCCCUGA
rnacentral:rRNA from 1 species